rnacentral:rRNA from 1 species
UACGGAGGGAGCUAGCGUUGUUCGGAAUUACUGGGCGUAAAGCGCGCGUAGGCGGCUUUGUAAGUUAGAGGUGAAAGCCCGGGGCUCAACCCCGGAAUUGCCUUUAAGACUGCAUCGCUUGAAUCCGGGAGAGGUGAGUGGAAUUCCGAGUGUAGAGGUGAAAUUCGUAGAUAUUCGGAAGAACACCAGUGGCGAAGGCGGCUCACUGGACCGGCAUUGACGCUGAGGUGCGAAAGCGUGGGGAGCAAACAGGG